GAUAUUCACUUGGGAUCAGCCUGAAACAGCCCUCUUCAUGUUGAAUUUUUUUUUUUAAGAAAAUUCAGCUUGCUGAAUCUGAACGAAGCCUGGAUCGCGAUCAACACUUGAUCUCUUUUCUUGAUCUUCUUCUUCUCUUCUUCUUUUGCCUUUCUUCCUUGAAUUAUGCUGCUACCAGCAGGUAGAAACCAGCAUAAGGUGGAUGCCCAACUGCCCUUGGCGUG
rnacentral:lncRNA from 1 species